rnacentral:rRNA from 1 species
AAUCAACGCUGGCGGCGUGCCUCAGACAUGCAAGUCGAACGAUUAAAGCUCUCUUCGGAGAGUGCAUAGAGUGGCGUACGGGUGAGUAACACGUAAGUAAUCUACCUUUGAGUGGGGGAUAACUAGUCGAAAGAUUAGCUAAUACCGCAUAAGACCACAAGAACUGCGGUUCAAGGGGUCAAAGGUUUUUCGCUCUAAGAUGAGUCCGCGUAAGAUUAGCUAGUUGGUAGGGUAACGGCCUACCAAGGCGACGAUCUUUAACUGGUCUGAGAGGAUGAUCAGUCAGACUGGAACUGAGACACGGUCCAGACUCCUACGGGAGGCAGCAGUAGGGAAUAUUGCACAAUGGAGGAAACUCUGAUGCAGCGACGCCGCGUGAGUGAUGAAGGCCUUCGGGUCGUAAAGCUCUGUCGCAGGGGAAUAACACAAUGAAGGUACCCUGUAAGAAAGGAUCGGCUAACUUCGUGCCAGCCGCCGCAGUAAAAC